UACAGAGGGGGCAAGCGUUGUUCGGAAUUACUGGGCGUAAAGGGCGCGUAGGCGGCCUGUUAAGUCGAACGUGAAAUCCCCGGGCUCAACCCGGGAACUGCGUCCGAAACUGGCAGGCUUGAAUCCGGGAGAGGGAUGCGGAAUUCCAGGUGUAGCGGUGAAAUGCGUAGAUAUCUGGAGGAACACCGGUGGCGAAGGCGGCAUCCUGGACCGGUAUUGACGCUGAGGCGCGAAAGCCAGGGGAGCAAACGGG
rnacentral:rRNA from 1 species